rnacentral:lncRNA from 1 species
GUGACUGCUCUGAAGUGAAAGCAACUGUUCAGAGAGAGAGAGAGAGCUGAAGCAAUGUUGUGGGAACUGCUCUGCAGGGCCUAGCCCAUGGUGAUGGGAGCCAUGCACACCUUCUUCAGGAGGUGUUUGGGACCAUGGAGUCACCCAGUCCACCCUCCCUGCUCCGGGAUGGAGUUUGGCAUGUCUGGAGUGCAGAGUGGUACCUGGGGUUUGUGUUCAUUGGUUCCAUCUGGGCUCUGAGCCACGGACUCAACGUGUAACCUCUGCUUCUGUGUCCUCACUGAUACAGGCUCAAGGGGAAAACAUCCAUUUCUGUGCUAAAGACAAGGCUGCAGGAACAGAAGAGCUGCAUCUUGGAAGAAAGGUGUUGCUGCUGUCAGGAUGUGCCCCAGCAAGAAGAGAAAAUGAGCACCUCGAGCUCGAGCGCUGCCAACUGCAGGAUGGCUGGAGUUGGGUGUUCUGCUCACAGACAGAAGAAAACCACUUCAAGACAUCAAGGUGACUAUUCCUCUUACAGCUGAAGAAGAGCCAACUGAGCCUAAUCCCAUUUUCCCUAGGACCUGGCAGCCAUUCA